AAAGGAUGUGCAGGAAGAAAAGAUCAGAAUGUAAGAUGAACUAUAGAACUGGAGAAUGGGGCCUAUUUCUGUGCAAUCAGUUCACUGAAGCUGCAAGUUCAAUGCGAUAGGAUAUUAUGGAGGUGGCAAGAGGCAGGAUGAGGAGAUCUGAAGGAGCACAC